rnacentral:rRNA from 1 species
UGCCUAAUACAUGCAAGUCGAACGAAGCUUUCUUUCACCGAAUGCUUGCAUUCACCGAAAGAAGCUUAGUGGCGAACGGGUGAGUAACACGUAGGCAACCUGCCCAAAAGAGGGGGAUAACACUUGGAAACAGGUGCUAAUACCGCAUAACCAUGAACACCGCAUGAUGUUCAUGUAAAAGACGGCUUUUGCUGUCACUUUUGGAUGGGCCUGCGGCGUAUUAACUUGUUGGUGGGGUAACGGCCUACCAAGGUGAUGAUACGUAGCCGAACUGAGAGGUUGAUCGGCCACAUUGGGACUGAGACACGGCCCAAAC